AGAAGCUUGCUUCUUUUUGAAUCUAGUGGCAAACGGGUGAGUAACACGUAAACAACCUGCCUUCAGGAUGGGGACAACAGACGGAAACGACUGCUAAUACCGAAUGUGUUCCGGAGACCGCAUGAUUUCCGGAAGAAAGGAUGGCCUCUAUUUAUAAGCUAUCGCCUGAAGAGGGGUUUGCGUCUGAUUAGGCAGUUGGUGAGGUAACGGCCCACCAAACCUACGAUCAGUAGCCGGUCUGAGAGGAUGAACGGCCACACUGGAACUGAGACACGGUCCAGACUCCUACGGGAGGCAGCAGUGGGGAAUCUUCCGCAAUGGACGAAAGUCUGACGGAGCAACGCCGCGUGAGUGAUGACGGCCUUCGGGUUGUAAAGCUCUGUGAUCGGGGACGAAUGGCUGGUAUGCUAAUACCAUAUCAGAGUGACGGUACCCGAAUAGCAAGCCACGGCUAACUACGUGCCAGCAGCCGCGGUAAUACGUAGGUGGCAAGCGUUGUCCGGAAUUAUUGGGCGUAAAGCGCGCGCAGGCGGCUUCUUAAGUCCAUCUUAAAAGUGCGGGGCUUAACCCCGUGAUGGGAUGGAAACUGGGAGGCUGGAGUAUCGGAGAGGAAAGUGGAAUUCCUAGUGUAGCGGUGAAAUGCGUAGAGAUUAGGAAGAACACCGGUGGCGAAGGCGACUUUCUGGACGACAACUGACGCUGAGGCGCGAAAGCGUGGGGAGCAAACAGGAUUAGAUACCCUGGUAGU
rnacentral:rRNA from 1 species